rnacentral:rRNA from 1 species
UACGAAGGGGGCUAGCGUUGCUCGGAAUCACUGGGCGUAAAGGGUGCGUAGGCGGGUUCUUAAGUCAGAGGUGAAAUCCUGGAGCUCAACUCCAGAACUGCCUUUGAUACUGAGAGUCUUGAGUAUGACAGAGGUGAGUGGAACUGCGAGUGUAGAGGUGAAAUUCGUAGAUAUUCGCAAGAACACCAGUGGCGAAGGCGGCUCACUGGCCCGAUACUGACGCUGAGGCACGAAAGCUGGGGGAGCAAACAGG